rnacentral:rRNA from 1 species
AUUGAACGCUGGCGGCAGGCUUAACACAUGCAAGUCGAGCGGGGUGAUGGUGCUUGCACUAUCACUUAGCGGCGGACGGGUGAGUAAUGCUUAGGAAUCUGCCUAUUAGUGGGGACAACAUCUCGAAAGGGAUGCUAAUACCGCAUACGUCCUACGGGAGAAAGCAGGGGAUCACUUGUGACCUUGCGCUAAUAGAUGAGCCUAAGUCGGAUUAGCUAGUUGGUGGGGUAAAGGCCUACCAAGGCGACGAUUUGUAGCGGGUCUGAGAGGAUGAUCCGCCACACUGGGGCUGAGACACGGCCCAGACUCCUACGGGAGGCAGCAGUGGGGAAUAUUGGACAAUGGGGGGAACCCUGAUCCAGCCAUGCCGCGUGUGUGAAGAAGGCCUUAUGGUUGUAAAGCACUUUAAGCGAGGAGGAGGCUCUUUUGGUUAAUACCCAAGAUGAGUGGACGUUACUCGCAGAAUAAGCACCGGCUAACUCUGUGCCAGCAGCCGCGGUAA